rnacentral:rRNA from 1 species
UUUCUCCGCCGGCGACCGGCGCACGGGUGAGUAACACGUAUGCAACCUGCCCCUGUCAGGGGGACAACCCGCCGAAAGGCGGGCUACACCCGCGUACAUGCCACCGGGGCAUCCCGGAGGCAGGAAAGGCUUCGGCCGGACAGGGAUGGGCAUGCGGCGCAUUAGGCAGUAGGCGGGGUAACGGCCCACCUAACCGACGAUGCGUAGGGGUUCUGAGAGGAAGGUCCCCCACACUGGUACUGAGACACGGACCAGACUCCUACGGAAGGCAGCAG